GCUGGCGGCACGCCUUAUACAUGCAAGUCGAACGAAGUAGCAAUACUUAGUGGCAGACGGGUGAGUAACAUGUGGGUAUCUUCCCUUUGGUGAGGAAUAACACGAGGAAACUUGUGCUAAUACCUCAUAAGUCUUUACGGAGAAAGCUUUAUGCGCCAAUGGAUGAGCCCGCACUUGAUUAGUUUGUUGGUGGGGUAAUGGCCUACCAAGACUUUGAUCAAUAGCUGAUCUGAGAGGAUGAUCAGCCACAUUGGGACUGAGACACGGCCCAAACUCCUACGGGAGGCAGCAGUAGGGAAUAUUGCACAAUGGAGGAAACUCUGAUGCAGCGAUGCCGCGUGAGUGAAGAAGGCCUUUGGGUUGUAAAGCUCUUUCGUCGGGGAAGAAAAUGACUGUACCCGAAUAAGAAGGUCCGGCUAACUUCGUGCCAGCAGCCGCGGUAAUACGAAGGGACCUAGCGUAGUUCGGAAUUACUGGGCUUAAAGAGUUCGUAGGUGGUUAAAAAAGUUGGUUGUGAAAUCCCGGGGCUUAACUCCGGAACUGCAAUCAAAACUUUUUAGCUAGAGUAUGAUAGAGGAAAGCAGAAUUUCUAGUGUAGAGGUGAAAUUCGUAGAUAUUAGAAAGAAUACCAAUUGCGAAGGCAGCUUUCUGGAUCAUUACUGACACUGAGGAACGAAAGCAUGGGUAGCGAAGAGGAUUAGAUACCCUCGUAGUCCAUGCCGUAAACGAUGUGUGUUAGACGUUGGAAAUUAAUUUUUAGUGUCGCAGCGAAAGCAAUAAACACACCGCCUGGGGAGUACGACC
rnacentral:rRNA from 1 species